AGAAGGCCUUUUGGUUGUAAAGCACUUUAAGCAGUGAAGAAGACUCUAUGGUUAAUACCCAUAGACGAUGACAUUAGCUGCAGAAUAAGCACCGGCUAACUCUGUGCCAGCAGCCGCGGUAAUACAGAGGGUGCAAGCGUUAAUCGGAAUUACUGGGCGUAAAGCGAGCGUAGGUGGCUUAAUAAGUCAGAUGUGAAAUCCCCGGGCUUAACCUGGGAACUGCAUCUGAUACUGUUAGGCUAGAGUAGGUGAGAGGGAGGUAGAAUUUCAGGUGUAGCGGUGAAAUGCGUAGAGAUCUGAAGGAAUACCGAUGGCGAAGGCAGCCUCCUGGCAUCAUACUGACACUGAGGUUCGAAAGCGUGGGUAGCAAACAGGAUUAGAUACC
rnacentral:rRNA from 1 species